CCUCAAACCACAAGGAGAGCCACCAGCAGAACACCUUCGAGAACGAAACCACCAUUGCAGCCAACACCCAAUGGCUACAUCAAUCUUCAGCCGCUACAUGGAUCAUCUUCCUGCUUAACCUCCACCUGUCUUCUUCUGACAUUGUCCCUUGUGGUUGGAAUCCCACUUCAGAGGAGGCUUCUCUGAGGGUAUUUUUGCUUCCUCGCACCUCCCGGCAGUAACUGGGGACGGCAAAGGCAAGAGCUUUGAAGUUCUACAAGGGGAGCCGUUUGGAACCCAUGGAUCAAACGCCAAUGCUCUCUGGACUGUGGGUCUCUUCUGACUUUUAUGUGCAUAGUAACUGCCCUGUGUGUAAUGCAAAUUUUGCCUGCUGCAAAGCCGCUGUGUUUCUCUCGACCCUCAUUUUGUUAUGGUGACACUUCCACACUCAAGGUAGUGCUGAGAUCCAGCACCAUCUUUCCUGUCCUCUGUGCAUGCUGGAUCCUGGUCUGUUGAGCCUCCUGGAACAGCUGUGCUCCUGAAUUCCUUUCUGGGCCUGUGUUAGUAACCAGAACUGCACCAUCAGCACCUCAGGUUGGUUCCGAGCAAGGGGAAGCAAGAAGACUGGCUUUGCUCAGCCCACCCAUCAGUCAGCUUGAAGAGUUGGGAACCUAGCAGAAAGCAAACCGCUUUCUCUUCCCCUUGGCUACUAGUCAUGAUGGCUGCCUUCUGCUUCCACUGUUGGAGACAGUCUGCCUCUGAAUACCAGUUGCUGUAAAUCACAUGUGGAGAGUGGACUCCUGUCUCACCCAGGCCCUGCUUGUGCUGGUUAAGUGGCCAGGCUGUUCUAUUCAGAGACCCAGUUCUGUUUCAUUCAGUUCACAUUUAAAGGCAAACCUACUUAGUCUGCACUUUCUGAAUCAAUGCAAAAACUGAAACACAGCCAUCCUUUGAAAUUUGCACUUCUCUGAAUUUUGCAAUCUAGUGCUCCAACCGACUCACGUUUACAAAAAUGCAUCUAUUUUGGAUAAUUGUGCAUUAAAAUGAAACUAAUAUUUAAAAAAUGCAUUGUAUUAGGGAACAUUGCUUGCAAAACAUGUGCUUGAGUCAAAGAUGCAUAGAAAAAUGUGUUUAUUAGGAUAAAUGCACAAAGAGUACAUUAGGGUUUUUUUUAAAAAAAUGUCAAUUUUUUGUAGAAAUGUGGAUGAUUGAAUUUAAGAUUGAAAAAUGAGAACUGAGGGAACUCAAAUUGACAUGUCCCUUCUCAGUUCUUCCUUCCCUUUGUGGGCAGCCUACCGCCCAAGGUCUGAGUCCCAUCCAUCUAUAAUUACGCAACCUGAAUUUUCUGGCAUGUGACUGAACCUCAUCCGAAAACAAAAACUGCUUGGAAGCAUCCAGUGUCUUGAAUGCUGGGGAAAGUUGAUUAUUGUGCAGCAGAGGCACUACCUUGAAAGGAAGGAGGCAUCUUAAUCCUAUGUUAAUCCUAAAUAAGAACUCUGUAUAUUUUGUGCUAUACUGCACAUUAGCAAUAGGUAUUUUCAUUGGACUUGGCUGUAGCAUGUUGGCCAAAGUUUCAGGGAACAUCAGGUACCAAUCACCAAAACCAGAAGCUUGAGAAACUUGCAGUGGCUGAUAAUAAACAACAACAGAUUUCUGCCCAACUGUUGAAUUCAGAAGGUGGGAAUACUGAGUGUGUCCUUAUUCAAAACUGCCAUGAUCCAGAUGUGACAUUAGUCACAUUGAAGAAUGGGAGACAAAUGUGAUUUACCGUAGUUUGCAUUUAAAGAUGAAGCCACUUACUUUGCAUUUUGCAAAACAAUACGCGAACGGAAACUCAGCCAUCCUUUGGAAUUCACUUUUCCAGAUUUUGCAAAGCGGUUUUCCAAGUAAUAUGUACAAUGAUGCAUAAACAAGGGUAAAGUGCAUAAAUAAAUAUGCAUAUAUUAUCAGAAAAUAACACGUGGAAAUGCAAGGGGGAAAUUGCUUUGCAAAAAUGUGUAUGUUCGUAUAAAUUAAUAUUACAAUGCUGAAAAAAUAAUUGCAAACUGAUAUGGAAAUGUGGGGAACAGAACUUGAUUAGAAAAAUGAGAAACUGAUGGAAUCCAAAAUGACAGAUAUCACCCCUCCCUCUUUACCACUGAAAGAGUUUUAGGUUCUGAUAGAAGUAAUGGAAAGCUCACCUGAAGCUCUUAAUUGAUAUAACUUCCAGACUCCAUUGUAUACCUCUCUAAAUCUCAUGCUCACUGAUCUUAAAAGAGUCCAGCUGUUUUCCUUCUCCCUCCUAAAUUGUUCAAGUUCCUUAAUGUCACAAAGUUGCUUUCUGCGGAAAUAACUUUCUGUUUAAUUUCAAUAACGUGUUAAAAAAUAAAUUAAAAAAUUGGUUUAAA